GCUCUCUGGGAUAGCUCAGGUGACAGAGCAUGAGACUCUUAAUUUCAGAGUUGUGGGUUCAAGCCCCAGGUUGGGCA